GGAGAGUUGGCAGAGUGGUAAUGCAGCGGAUUGCUAAUCCGUCAUCAUGAAAAUGAUGCACAGGUUCGAGUCCUGUACUCUCCGCCA
rnacentral:tRNA from 1 species